CAUGAGUUAAGGCUCAGAGGCCUUGCCAGUGUCCUCUUGGGAAGACACCUCGGGGACCGGCAGAGGAGCACCCAGUGUCUUCGGGCUCCAGUCCCAUUCCCGUGCCCCACUCCAGAGGGUGACGGGAAGGAGCACUGGGGCACAUCAGUCAGCGCCUUCUGCGGAUGGGGAGGUAGGAUCCCAGAAAAGGACCUGCUGGCCCCAGGGCCACAGGCCAGCGCCUUCCCACUCUCCCCUUCCUGGGAAUCACCCAGCUCCCCCCCCCCAAGAGCGCUUGCGAAGGUUGGUCACCUUCGGCCUGCGCCAGGCCUGUGUGCUCCAGGCGCCUGGCCAGCUGGGGCCCACAGAGCAGGGCCCCCAGGGACACGCCAGACCAGGCUGGACUGCAUUUCCAAGGACAGCUCUGAAAAGACAGGCCAGGUGAAUCCUCCCCAUUCAGAACGUGCACAGACCAGAAGGAUGAGAGUUCUAGGAAGCUGGCUGGACCUCCAAGUGUCCCGAGGGGUUGGAGGGUGUAGGCUCUCUGAACUCUGAGGACUGUCAGUGUGGCGCCCUGAUGGCAGGCUAGGGGAGGCAUCAGUGUGACAGCGCAAAAGUUAAGAAGGAGUGUCAAGUCUCGGUGUGCAAAUGGGACGGAGCACAGAGUGUUGGUAAUUGAGAUUGUCCAUGGAAGAUACCAUACUGGACCUAGUGGAUAGGUUUUCACACUGGGGUCUGAAUUCUGUGAGCGAUGGCAUGCCAGUCUGGUCACUAACUGUCUACUCAGAGAAGCUGGGUGGGGCAGGGAAGAACGCAGGGAAUGUCCACUCCUUGUCCUUGCUGCAGGUGGGACUGCCGCGGCAGAGACCAGGCCAGGCCUGGGGUGGGCUUGACUCAGGCUCUUCAGCAGGUCCGUGGCCCUCUGAACGUCCUCUCCCCUCAGAGAUGGCCACAGCACCGGGGAGCCCAGCUUGGUUAAGCGCGAGGGCAGGGUCCUCUCCUUGGGGCUGAAGGCCAGGGUGUCAAAGGAGCUUUGCCCAGCCACCGCCCACUCUCUGUGACCCCUGCGGCUCUGGGUGUCCCCAGCUUGGUACCAAAGGAGAACGUGCAUUCUCCUUUCACCUAAUGACCAUGGCCAUGAUUGUGUGGCUGGUAUCUCCGUGUCCAGCGAGGGACCCAGUCCCAGGGCAGCCUCGGCAACGGCACGUGGGACUGGACUCCAAGCCCUCAGCUCACUUACUGAUUGCGUGAGUGUCUUCAUUCAGUGCAUAAUUAUUGCCUACUAUGUGCCAGGCAAAGUUGGGGAUGAAAUGGAAAGAACCUUCCCCUCGUGGACUUCAGAAGAAAGGAGCAAGAAAGCAGUGGAGGUGGAGUGCAGGCACAGUCAGGGUCAGGAGGCACAAGAGCUGGG
rnacentral:lncRNA from 1 species